rnacentral:rRNA from 1 species
AUUGAACGCUGGCGGCAUGCCUUACACAUGCAAGUCGAACGGUAACGGGCCUUCGGGUGCCGACGAGUGGCGAACGGGUGAGUAAUGCAUCGGAACGUGCCCGAUCGUGGGGGAUAACGAGGCGAAAGCUUUGCUAAUACCGCAUACGAUCUACGGAUGAAAGCAGGGGACCGCAAGGCCUUGCGCGGACGGAGCGGCCGAUGGCAGAUUAGGUAGUUGGUGGGAUAAAAGCUUACCAAGCCGACGAUCUGUAGUUGGUCUGAGAGGAUGAUCAGCCACACUGGGACUGAGACACGGCCCAGACUCCUACGGGAGGCAGCAGUGGGGAAUUUUGGACAAUGGGCGCAAGCCUGAUCCAGCCAUGCCGCGUGCAGGAUGAAGGCCUUCGGGUUGUAAACUGCUUUUGUACGGAACGAAAAGCCUUCUUUUAAUACAGGAGGGUCAUGACGGUACCGUAAGAAUAAGCACCGGCUAACUACGUG